AUGCACGCUGGCGGCGUGCCUAAUACAUGCCAGUCGAGCGAACAGACGAGGAGCUUGCUCCUCUGACGUUAGCGGCGGACGGGUGAGUAACACGUGGAUAACCUACCUAUAAGACUGGGAUAACUUCGGGAAACCGGAGCUAAUACCGGAUAAUAUAUUGAACCGCAUGGUUCAAUAGUGAAAGACGGUUUUGCUGUCACUUAUAGAUGGAUCCGCGCCGCAUUAGCUAGUUGGUAAGGUAACGGCUUACCAAGGCAACGAUGCGUAGCCGACCUGAGGGGGGGAUGGGCCAACCGGGAAGUGAGAACGGGCCAAGCCCCCACGGGGGGGCAGAAGGGGGAAAUUUUCCGAAAGGGGGGAAAGCUUGACGGGGAAAGCCGGGGGGGGGGAUGAAGUGUUGCGGUUCGUAAAACCUUUUUAUUAGGGAAAAAAAAAUGUGAAAUUAACGAUGCCGGUUUGACAGGAACCAAAGAAAAAAGCCCGGGCGACCUCGGG
rnacentral:rRNA from 1 species